UCUCCCGUUUCCCACCUACUAUAUUUCUUUAAACUCCAUGAAUCAAAAACUUGAGUUGACCUAAUUCUAGGACUCCAUCUGUAAUCUUUGUCCACAAAAGCAUGUAGGUUGGGGUUGAUCAAGAGGCAGAGAGGAGAUCCAGUAUUGCUGUCCCCAUGUUACAGAUGGAGAAAGUGAGACCUAGAAAACUUAAGUGAGGUAUCUGAAGAUGUAGAACUAAGUCCACUGUUAUUUCUCCUGGGCCCAGAUGUCUGGAAGGACUGAGUUCAGCCUCCAUAGAGUAAGAGAAGGAGAUACUGAGUUGAACACAAGCAAAUUGUCAACUACUUUUAUUCUCUGCUGGAAAUAAUUCUCAUGAGUUUGACAGAAAGAAGGUUGUUGAAAGAAAGAAAGAAAGAAACAAACAAACAUGAUGUUCAAAGCACGGUAUGCUCAUGUCAUAGGACUGAAUAUGCUGACCGCACGUGGGGUGUUUACAUUGCUUGUCAGAAGCAGUGAGCCAGGUGUCU